rnacentral:lncRNA from 1 species
ACACCUCCUCCAGGAUGUAUGCCUCUGCAAUGGAUGCUUCAAUUUUGCAUUUAUUUUUACAUUUAGUUCGAAGAACCUUUUGACAUCUCUCAAUUGAAUAGCACCAACGGCCCUGCACAGGCCCCCCCCCCAUUCGUGCUUCAUACGGGAGGUGCAGAAUCAUAUGCUGCAUCGGAUUGAAGAAGCCGGGUGGAAGAUCUUCUCCAACUUACAAAGCAAGACAGGCGCCAUUCUUUCC